rnacentral:rRNA from 1 species
ACGCUGGCGGCAGGCCUAACACAUGCAAGUCGAGCGGUAGCACAGGAGAGCUUGCUCUCUGGGUGACGAGCGGCGGACGGGUGAGUAAUGUCUGGGAAACUGCCUGAUGGAGGGGGAUAACUACUGGAAACGGUAGCUAAUACCGCAUGACCUCGCAAGAGCAAAGUGGGGGACCUUCGGGCCUCACGCCAUCGGAUGUGCCCAGAUGGGAUUAGCUAGUAGGUGGGGUAAUGGCUCACCUAGGCGACGAUCCCUAGCUGGUCUGAGAGGAUGACCAGCCACACUGGAACUGAGACACGGUCCAGACUCCUACGGGAGGCAGCAGUGGGGAAUAUUGCACAAUGGGCGCAAGCCUGAUGCAGCCAUGCCGCGUGUGUGAAGAAGGCCUUAGGGUUGUAAAGCACUUUCAGCGAGGAGGAAGGCGUUGCAGUUAAUAGCUGCAGCGAUUGACGUUACUCGCAGAAGAAGCACCGGCUAACUCCGUGCCAGCAGCCGCGGUAAUACGGAGGGUGCAAGCGCUAAUCGGAAUUACUGGGCGUAAAGCGCACGCAGGCGGUUUGUUAAGUCAGAUGUGAAAUCCCCGAGCUUAACUUGGGAACUGCAUUUGAAACUGGCAAGCUAGAGUCUUGUAGAGGGGGGUAGAAUUCCAGGUGUAGCGGUGAAAUGCGUAGAGAUCUGGAGGAAUACCGGUGGCGAAGGCGGCCCCCUGGACAAAGACUGAUGCUCAGGUGCGAAAGCGUGGGGAGCAAAC